rnacentral:rRNA from 1 species
AUACGGAGGGUGCAAGCGUUACUCGGAAUCACUGGGCGUAAAGCGCGCGCAGGCGGCUUGAUAAGUUGGAUGUGAAAGCCUACGGCUCAACCGUAGAACUGCAUCCAAAACUGUCAAGCUAGAGUCUGGGAGGGGAAGAUGGAAUUAGUUGUGUAGGGGUAAAAUCCGUAGAGAUAACUAGGAAUACCAAAAGCGAAGGCGAUCUUCUGGAACAGUACUGACGCUGAGGCGCGAAAGCGUGCGGAGCAAACAGGAUUAGAAACCCCAGUAGUCC